rnacentral:rRNA from 1 species
UACGUAGGGGGCAAGCGUUGUCCGGAAUCAUUGGGCGUAAAGCGCGUGUAGGCGGCUCGAUAAGUCUGCUGUGAAAGUCCAGGGCUCAACCCUGGGAUGCCGGUGGAUACUGUCGAGCUCGAGUCCGGAAGAGGCGAGUGGAAUUCCUGGUGUAGCGGUGAAAUGCGCAGAUAUCAGGAGGAACACCAAUGGCGAAGGCAGCUCGCUGGGGACGUGACUGACGCUGAGACGCGAAAAGCGUGGGGGAGCAAACAGG